rnacentral:rRNA from 1 species
AACGAACGCUGGCGGCGUGCCUAACACAUGCAAGUCGAACGGAUUGAAGGGGCUUGCUCCUUCAGUUAGUGGCGCAAGGGUGAGUAACGCGUAGAUAAUCUGCCUGAUGAUCUGGGAUAACAGUUCGAAAGGACUGCUAAUACCGGAUAAGCCCACGUGGUCUUUGGACCGUGCGGGAAUAGGGGGGGACCUUCGGGCCUUCUGUCAUCAGAUGAGUCUGCGUACCAUUAGCUAGUUGGUAGGGUAAUGGCCUACCAAGGCUACGAUGGUUAGCUGGUUUGAGAGAAUGAUCAGCCACACUGGAACUGAGACACUGUCCAGACUCAUACGGGAGACAUCAGUGGGGAAUUGUGCGCAAUGGGCUAAAGCCUUACGCAGCAACGCCGCAUGAUUGAUGAAGGCUUUCGGGUCGUAAAGCUCUGUCGAUGGGAAAGAAGUGUAUUGUGGUUAAUACCCGCGAUACUUGACGGUACCCCUAAAGGAAGCACCGGCUAACUCCGUGCCAGCCGCCGCGGUAAUAC